rnacentral:rRNA from 1 species
UACGUAGGUGGCGAGCGUUGUCCGGAUUUACUGGGUGUAAAGGGCGUGUAGGCGGGAUUGUAAGUCAGAUGUGAAAUACCGAGGCUCAACCUCGGGGCUGCAUUUGAAACUAUGAUUCUUGAGUGUCGGAGAGGUAAGUGGAAUUCCUAGUGUAGCGGUGAAAUGCGUAGAUAUUAGGAGGAACACCAGUGGCUAAGGCGACUUACUGGACGAUAACUGACGCUGAGGCGCGAAAGCGUGGGGAGCAAACAGG